rnacentral:rRNA from 1 species
GAAGAUGGUGAACUAUGCCUGAAUAGGGUGAAGCCAGAGGAAACUCUGGUGGAAGCUCGCAGCGAUUCUGACGUGCAAAUAGAUCGUCAAAUUUGGGUAUAGGGGCGAAAGACUAAUCGAACCAUCUAGUAGCUGGUUCCCUCCGAAGUUUCCCUCAGGAUAGCUGGAGCCCGGUGCAGUUUUAUCAGGUAAAGCGAAUGAUUAGAGGUCUUGGGGCUGAAACAGCCUCAACCUAUUCUCAAACUUUAAAUGGGUAAGAAGCCUGGCUUGCUUGGUUGAAGUCGGGCGUUGAAUGCCGGGGCUCCAGUUGGGCCAUUUUUUGGUAAGCAGAACUGGCGAUGUGGGGAUGAACCAAAUGCCGGGUUAAGGUGCCUGAAUCGACGCUCAGCAGAUACCAGGAAGG